rnacentral:rRNA from 1 species
AUGGCUCAGGAUGAACGCUGGCGGCGUGCUUAACACAUGCAAGUCGAACGAGGCUGUCGACGGAAAUUUCGGAUGGAAGACGGCAUGACCGAGUGGCGGACGGGUGACGUAACGCGUGGGGAACCUGCCCCAUUCCGGGGAUACCAGUUGGAAACGACUGUUAAUACCGCAUAAGCGCACGGGAAGGCAUCUUCCAGUGUGAAAAACUGAGGUGGAAUGGGAUGGCCCCGCGUCUGGAUUAGCCAGUUGGCAGGGUAACGGCCUACCAAAGCGACGAUCAGUAGCCGGCCUGAGAGGGCGACCGGCCACAUUGGGACUGAGACACGGCCCAAACUCCUACGGGAGGCAGCAGUGGGGAAUAUUGCACAAUGGGGGGAACCCUGAUGCAAGCGACGCCGCGUGAGUGAGGAAGUAUUUCGGUAUGUAAAGCUCUAUCAGCAGGGAAGAAGAUGACGGUACCUGCACAAGAAGCCCCGGCUAACUACGUGCCAGCCGCCGC